CUGCAAAGCUGAAACUUAAAGGAAUUGACGGAAGGGCACCAUCAGGUCUGGAUUAUGCGGCUCAAUUGGAUUCAACGCCCGACACCCCACCAGGACAGGAGCGCCCGAUGAAGCACCGGCCGAAUACCUCUGCCGAUGGGCGUGCUGGUGGUGCAUGGCCGCCGUAGUUCGUGAGGUGACUUGUCUGGUUCAUUCCGUGUUGCGAACGCAACCACACUGCUCUACUAUCCGACCGGCCCGCGCGUCGGGUCGGCCCGCCGAAACUGGAGCAGACCGAUCGCUUGGCUUCUGAAGGAGACUGACGCCCAAGGCGAAGGAAGCUAUGGCGAUGGCAGGUCUGUGAUGCCCCAAGACGCCCUGGAUCGCACGCGUAAUACAAUGCCGACUCAAGCGCGCAGGUCAGUCCGAAAGGACUCACAAAUCGCACGAAAAGUC
rnacentral:rRNA from 1 species